UACAAAAAAAAAGUAAGUCGCUCUGGAUAAGAGCGUCUGCUAAAUGACUAAAA
rfam:Salmo salar isolate Sally breed double haploid chromosome ssa12, whole genome shotgun sequence.